UACGGGGGGAGCAAGCGUUGUUCGGAUUUACUGGGCGUAAAGGGCGCGUAGGCGGUCAGCACAAGUCAGUUGUGAAAUCUCCGGGCUUAACUCGGAAAGGUCAACUGAUACUGUGCGACUAGAGUGCAGAAGGGGCAACUGGAAUUCUCGGUGUAGCGGUGAAAUGCGUAGAUAUCGAGAGGAACACCUGCGGCGAAGGCGGGUUGCUGGGCUGACACUGACGCUGAUGCGCGAAAGCUAGGGGAGCAAACGGG
rnacentral:rRNA from 1 species